CCUUUUUACCACCAAAAACAGCUCUGUGUACGCGGGGUUCUUUCUCCCUGCUCCCGCUGGAACACCCGCAACCCGGGAUCUGGGAUUCACCGAAAUUGGGAUUUAUUGCACCCCGAAAACCGCUGCGCAUGCGCGGUGGCCGCCACACCCUCAGUGCUGCCGCCUUGUGGACACGCCCGGUACUGCGGCUCCGAGCGCUCCGGGCCCUUCCCGCGGCUCCGCCGGCACCGGGAGCGGGACAUGGAGCUGGAGCGGGACCGGGACAACGACGGGCACUGGCCGUGCGAGGCCGCGGGGCUCUCGGCCGGGGCCGCUCCCGGCAGGAACCGCGGCCGCUGAGCCGGGAGCGCAGGCGCGGAGCCGGGAGCGGCGGGGCCGGGCUCGGAGGAUGAGGGAGCCAGCCCUGCCAGGAGGAAGAGGAGGAGGUGUGGGAGGAUGGAGACAGCGGCCACCAAAGGCUGGGGAAGGCACAGGUCCAGAGAAAGGCUGCCAAGGAAUAAAGCAAGAGCUUUCCCCAGUGAAAACCUGCCCAGUCCCAUGCUGGGUUUGCACACACACAAGGUUCAAUCCCUGCUGGAAUCCCACUCACAGCCUCCAGAGCAAUGUGCAGUUUAAGGUCUCACAGCCUGACCAGGACAAUCUCUUGCCUCUGGACAUGGAAAAUCAAUUUUUCCAUGUUACAGCACCAGCUCCAGAAUCCUCUGAGGCUGAAACAAAGACAAGGAACCUUCUGAGAUGGAAAGAGGCCAGAGCAAGUUGUUGUGGGAAAGGAAAAUGAAAGAUGGACGUGGGCCGUGACAUGAAUUGGCUCCAACGGGGCCCAAGAUCACUCUGGGGUCUGUGGCAGGGACAGCUCCCAGAGCCAGACAGGGAAGGGACCUUCACCCACAUUCCCAAAAAGCUGAGAAGGAAAAACUCCUGCCUGCAGCUGGCUGCAGCUCCUGGAGUCCUGGGGUUUCUGGCACACUCAGGGACAUGGGGUAAUGCCAGAAUCAUUCAAACCUCGGGAAUAAUGGAAUUAAUACCACUCCUUGAGCUCCUGCCCAUCAGCCACUGGCUGCAGAUGGCUGUGGAAGUGAUGGAGGCGUUCAGGGAAUGCUGAUUGUUUUUCCCUUGCUUUGGCAGUCUGGUCAGCAAAAAUGCUAAUUGAGCUCUUCCAGCAGGGAAACAUUUGAGCAAGAGGUGCUGAAAAGAACUGAGUUUCUGGUUUUGAGUCUCUGACUUAAAAUCACCCUGGAUUGUCCAACUUCCAUGGACUGGUCACCGUGGCCAGGAGUGUCCAAUCCUGCUGGAAUGCACUGGACCAGGAGCUCAUUUUCAUUUUGUGCUGGUAAAGACCCUCUGGGUGACCCCCAGUGACUGGAAGGGCCAGACUGGGCUCCCAGGGCACUAAUUCCAGGGGUUCUGUUUUUGGGAACAGCACAGGAGCCGUUCCCUUGCCCAGAGGAGCAGCCAGUGCCUGCCUUGGUUCACAGAUCCCCAGGACUGACCACAGAGGAAAUGACAGGAAUGUGGAAAUCCCCCACACUGGAGUUUGUGGUGCUCUGGAUGACAUCUUGGAUUUUUAAUGUUAAAGGGGGGCUGUGGAAUGACUUCUCUCCUUUUUAUUGUCAUUGUUCUCACUGCUCGUGUUGCUCUCACUGAUACUGUGUGUUGUCAUUAAUAUUAAAUGAUUGUAUUUGACUGGUUUCCAUUAUUAAACUGUUCUGAGCUGGU